GGGCCCCCACCUUGUGGAGGAGGUGGCAGCGUCUCUGGUCUGAGAAUUUAUCCACAGAAAGGGUUUAAAAAAAACAAGCCUUGUCUUGGACCAAGAACAUCCUCGAGGUGAAUACAGCAUAAACAACAGAAAUGAGCUGCGCAAGGUUCUGCACCUAGAAAUGCUUUAUAAGGAAAACAAGGU